rnacentral:rRNA from 1 species
UACGAAGGGGGCUAGCGUUGCUCGGAAUUACUGGGCGUAAAGCGCACGUAGGCGGCUCUUUAAGUCGGGGGUGAAAUCCUGGAGCUCAACUCCAGAACUGCCUUCGAUACUGAAGAGCUCGAGUCCGGGAGAGGUGAGUGGAACUGCGAGUGUAGAGGUGAAAUUCGUAGAUAUUGGGAGGAACACCAGAGGCGAAGGCGACGACCUGGAAGGUUACUGACACUGAGCAGCGAAAGCGUGGGGAGCAAACAGG